CACGAAAGCGCGAGCUGGGGAACAAGCCUAGGGCGCCUAGGGCGCAUGCGCAACGGGAGACGUUCGCGCGCUCUGCCGCUGUCUGGAGGAGCCGCCGCUUUUAGAGAAGCCUCAGAAAGGGGGUCUGGUCAGAAAGGAAGGGCAGAAAUGGUUGUCUGAGGCCCAUGAAGAGACUGCUAAAGAUCCCAAACCAAGCUGGCCACACAAGUUAGAGGAUUUCUGGGGAUGCUGGGAUGUAUGCACCACAUGUGUGCUUGGUGCCAGGGGGAGGCCAGAAGAAGAGCAUCAGAUCUAGAACUGAAGUCACCGCUGAUUGUGAACUGCCCUGUGGGCUCUGGGAAUUGACCUGGCCCCCUGGAAGAGCAGCCAAUUCUCUUAACAUCUGAGUCAUAUUUCUAGUCCCCUGUAAUUUUGUUUUGUUCUUUUGUCUUUUAGAGACAGGGUUUCUCUGUAGCUUUGGAGCCUGUCCUGGAACUAGCUCUGUAGACCAGGCUGGUCUCGAACUCACAGAGAUCCGCCUGCCUCUGCUUCCUGAGUGCUGGGAUUAAAGGCGUGCGCCACCAUUGUCCAGUACUAUAUUGUACCCAUGGUUGCCAAAUUCAUGAUUAUAGAACCCAUGAUGCACAGGGUUGAUUGUAUAUUGCAUCUCUCUUUUUGUUAGAAAACGUGAAGUCUGAUUAUCACACCCACUCCCAAGUACAGAAUUUCUGUCUA